rnacentral:misc_RNA from 1 species
AACGCACAUUGCGCCCUUUGGCAUUCCGAAGGGCAUGCCUGUUCGAGCGUCAUUAUCCUCUCUCAAACCUCGUGUUUGGUGUUGGACCGCGUUGGACCGCCUCCAUGGCCAACUGGUCUCAAAGACAAUGACGGCGUCCCCGGGACCCUCUUCGCACUGAGUUCUCCGGAGCACGCGUAGAGUUUCAAGGGCCCAGGGACCCGGUCGCCUCUAUAAUAUUUUAUCAGGUUGACCUCGGAUCAGGUAGGAAUACCCGCUGAACUUAA